UGGGGCGUCGCCAAGCGGUAAGGCACCGGGUUUUGAUCCCGGCAUUCGUAGGUUCGAUCCCUGCCGCCCCAGCCA
rnacentral:tRNA from 1 species